AUGGGUAGUGCUUUUUCAUGCCACUUUAUAAAGACGAGAAGAAGUGAGGAAGUUAUUAAAAGGGACUUUGCGCUCUGGUGCUGUAUUGUUGCUGCUGAUUGGAUAAGUGUUGCGCGAACAAUAAUGAAUGGAGAUCGAGAUCACAUCCUGCAGCUUGGUCGGUCUUCAAUUUGGGCCAAUUCUGCUGCCUGGUCCUGCUCUAAGGGCCUACCACGUUGGGAGCCUGCUGUGUCGCUCUGCCUCGGCGUUCUUGUGCGUUGUGUCGAUUCCAGUCUUACAAGUCAAGCAGGGGCCAGUAGUUUGUCUCAAAAAAAAAAAAGCAGGGGCCAGUAG
rnacentral:rRNA from 1 species